rnacentral:rRNA from 1 species
GACGAACGCUGGCGGCGUGCUUAACACAUGCAAGUCGAACGAGGCUCCUUCUUCGGUUGGGGUUCUAGUGGCGAACGGGUGAGUAACACGUGGGCAACCUGCCCCUGGCUCUGGGAUAACUCCAAGAAAUUGGGGCUAAUACCGGAUAUGACCGCUGAUCGCAUGGUCUGGUGGUGGAAAGAUUUAUCGGCUGGGGAUGGGCCCGCGCCUAUCAGCUUGUUGGUGGGGUAGUGGCCUACCAAGGCGACGACGGGUAGCCGGCCUGAGAGGGUGACCGGCCACACUGGGACUGAGACACGGCCCAGACUCCUACGGGAGGCAGCAGUGGGGAAUAUUGCGCAAUGGGCGAAAGCCUGACGCAGCGACGCCGCGUGGGGAUGACGGCCU